UAUGUGUAGUGAUUGUUUUGUGAUGGUGUUUUGAUUUGAUGAAAUCCGCUUGGUCUGAUCUGUACAUGAACCAAAGAAAUAAAAAAGCUGCUCGGUCGUUUGUCAAUUGUUAUAAUUGUCUUAGCAAAAAAAAAAGUUACAAUUCAUUGUGGGGUUGCAUGAUUAAGAAAAAGUAUAUGAACAUGAUUCCUUGAAAUUUUAAGUCAUGUAUUAAAAAGCUGAAGCCUUUGAUGUGCUGAUGGAAUCCUUUAGUUGCUGGAUGUUAAUUUAAUAAAACAACUCGCUUACGAUUUGGUUUCUAUAUCGUGAUGGGUAAUAUUUGAUGCAGAAUUUGUGUGUCAGUAAGCGAGCUACACGAUAGUUUAAUCUGGUUCUGUGAUGCAGCACUGAUUGUGAACUAUUUUUGACGAACUUCCUUAUUUUGUAUUCAGCUUGGGAGUUGGAAGCUUCCAGCAACGAGGUUGAAGGUCAAGGCGAUGACCCAAAUCCAUCCGGUGUUAAGGGAAAAGAGGGUAGUCGUAAGAACCCCCGUGAGUGAAGUUACAAAACUGUGAAACCGUCAACCCAACUCUGCUUCGGUCUCUUUGCAAUUCUUUAAAUUACUAUGCAUUUCUUAUUUCGGAUUUUGCAAUAUUUUCCCCGUUUCCAAGUUUUUGAAAAAUCCAUUUACGACUACGUACCUCAUAAGAGGGGAAUAAUUUCUAUAAUUUAAUAGUUAAAGUGGGUUAACGUUAUAUUAAGCAUGCUUGAAACAAAAUGCAGAAGAUGCAUGUUAAGGUAAGGUUUUGGACCAUGCAUAGGAAGGAUAUUGACUUGGUGUUGUUUAAAGCAGUUAAGUGUAGUUGAUGGUUUUAUUUUGGUAGUAGUGAUGAGUUGUUUUCCUGCUGUUGCAGAAGAAGAUAAUGAUCUAGAGGGUGAAACUAUGGAAGAGACAAAAGAAACGAAAAACAUUAUGGAAGAAGGCAACAGAGAAAAAGACGAAGCAGUAGAUGUGAAGAAGGAUUGAAUCUUAUGUUAUACUAAGAUUUUUCUAAUACUGUUUUUGCUUGAAAUGGUUUGUAAUGAAAUGGUAUGAAGGACAUAGUUUCAGUUUCACUUCUCUUUAUUUGAGAUUUUUACAUAAUCAACUUGCGUCUCACAAGGAACAUUCCAAGGAAAAGCAAUAAUAUUCUAAAUAGUUUUAUCAAGAUUAUUAAUGAACAUUAAACAAUGCCACUUUUGUGGUCUUCGACAGAGAAAUGCUUAAACUCACAAAAAAAUAAAUCAGCUGCUCUGACUCUAAAUCAGAUGAAUGGUGGUCUCUGUGAGGAAUUCCAACUAUGCUUUGCGGAACUUGCUGGAAAAUAAUUUGUUUUCCAGAUACGUGUGACACAGUAUAAUUUCAAACAAAACCACAACACCUUCACUGUUUAUGGAACUAGUGACCACAUCAACCACGAGACUUUCAACACCAUUGAAGCUCCAUUUGUUGGAGGGGAAACUGGCCAAACAUCUGAUUCUGCCAGCAACAAGGAUGAAGGUCAAGGAGAUGGCCCAAAUCCAUCCAAAGUUAAGGACAACGAGGGUGGCUACAAACGCCCACAUGAGUGAAGUUUCAAAGCUUUCAAACCGUCAAUCCACCUCAGCUUCCGUCACUUUAAAUUUUUUAAAAUUACUUAUCAAUCUUCUCCUUAUUUCCAAGUUAUUAAAAAAACCAUUUACGACUAAGUACCUCAUCAGGGGAGAACUAUUUCUAUUAUUUAAUAGUUUA